UACGGGAGGCAGCAGUGGGGAAUAUUGGACAAUGGGGGGAACCCUGAUCCAGCCAUGCCGCGUGUGUGAAGAAGGCCUUAUGGUUGUAAAGCACUUUAAGCGAGGAGGAGGCUACUGAGACUAAUACUCUUGGAUAGUGGACGUUACUCGCAGAAUAAGCACCGGCUAACUCUGUGCCAGCAGCCGCGGUAAUACAGAGGGUGCGAGCGUUAAUCGGAUUUACUGGGCGUAAAGCGUGCGUAGGCGGCUUUUUAAGUCGGAUGUGAAAUCCCCGAGCUUAACUUGGGAAUUGCAUUCGAUACUGGGAAGCUAGAGUAUGGGAGAGGAUGGUAGAAUUCCAGGUGUAGCGGUGAAAUGCGUAGAGAUCUGGAGGAAUACCGAUGGCGAAGGCAGCCAUCUGGCCUAAUACUGACGCUGAGGUACGAAAGCAUGGGGAGCAAACAGGAUUAGAUACCCUGGUAGUCCAUGCCGUAAACGAUGUCUACUAGCCGUUGGGGCCUUUGAGGCUUUAGUGGCGCAGCUAACGCGAUAAGUAGACCGCCUGGGGAGUACGGUCGCAAGACUAAAACUCAAAUGAAUUGACGGGGGCCCGCACAAGCGGUGGAGCAUGUGGUUUAAUUCGAUGCAACGCGAAGAACCUUACCUGGCCUUGACAUACUAGAAACUUUCCAGAGAUGGAUUGGUGCCUUCGGGAAUCUAGAUACAGGCGCUGCAUGGCUGUCGUCAGCUCGUGUCGUGAGAUGUUGGGUUAAGUCCCGCAACGAGCGCAACCCUUUUCCUUACUUGCCAGCAUUUCGGGUGGGAACUUUAAGGAUACUGCCAGUGACAAACUGGAGGAAGGCGGGGACGACGUC
rnacentral:rRNA from 1 species